GGCUUUGUCCAGUGGUAGUCUUGUAGCCAGUGAGGUUUAUCCAAGGUACAGAUACUGCUGCCUGAAAACAAAAUAUAAGACAAAUGUAUUUAAAACUAAAUCUGCAUUUACUGCUUUAGAAAAUGUGGUGUUGCA